GGUUUAAUUGAAAUUUGGUUUGAUUGAACUCUAAACAUAUGUAUUAGAGUCUGAUUACAUAUAAUUUGAUUUCACUCUAAGGGUGCGUUUGGUUCGCGCUAUCUUAUUAAGAUUCCUAGUAAUCUAAUAGGAAUAGAAAAAUAUGACGGUGUUUGGCUAAAUGCACUAAGUAAUCUAGUUGGUAAUAUUAGAUUUACUUGGAAAUAAGAUUCAUUCCAAAGUACUAAUCUCAUUCCCUUGAGGGAGGGUGGGUAUCCUCAUAUUAAUGAUUGGGGUAAUCAUAAUAUGUCUAAUAUUUUUCUUUCUCCCUACCCCCUUGCUAGUUGGUAUUAUUUUUCUUUAUACUCUAAUCUCAUGUCUCUUUCUAAACUUAUCUUUUUCUCUAUAAAUUUCAACUCUUUUUCUCUCUCUAAAGUAAGUUCUCUCUCUCCCUCUUUUUCUAGAAUCUCAACUCUCUCACUCUCUCUAAUCUCGACUAUAUUUCUCUUUCUAUUUCUUUAAUUAUGCUCUCUCUUUCUAAUAUAUGUUUUCUUCCCUUUUUUCUAAAAAGAUGUUGAAUUUUUUAUAGCAUUAUCUAAAAUUAAAUAAAUAAAUAAAUAAAUAAAUAAAUAAAUUGUAUAUUUUUUGUAAUAUAAUUAAAUAACAUGAAUAAAUAAUAUGACCGUGCGAACCAAAUACAGGAAUGCCACAUUCUUAGUAAUAGGAUGAAUAGGAAUAAGAUUCUCGGACAUCUUUUUAUUCCUAGUAAUUUUUUAUAGUGCGAACCAAACGCACCUUAAAGUGAAAGUUGGCUAAAUCCUAAGUAAUGUAUUUGGAUUAGUCAAAUUUAAUUUAAAUAAAACUCUAAUUAUAUGUAUUAUAGUCUAACUUGCAUUAGUUGAACUCUAAAUAUAUGUAUUGGAGUCCAAUU
rnacentral:lncRNA from 1 species